rnacentral:lncRNA from 1 species
AGUGGAGCAAAGUCGUGGCUGUUGUUGCGGCCUGCCAGGGGGUCCAGGCCUGUCGGCCGAAGUUCGACUGGAGUGUCUGGCGGAGAGAGGUGGUUAGCUACCCGUCUGAGAGGAGCUCGGAGUCCGGCUCCCGUAGGAGUCCGGAUGAAGUCUUCCUUCAGUCGAAGUCGGGGAUGAGGUCCGGCUCCCAUGGGAGUCCGGACGGAGUCUCCCCGUAGCUGGAGUUGGAGACG